AUUCUAUGGGUUGGCAUCUACAGGAUGCCAUCUCAGGUCAUGGAUCCACUGUGGCCGCUUCGUCCUUCACUGAGGACCUUCUCAUCCCCACAGAGAUCAGAGGUUAUGACUAUGUCAUAGGUGACGUGCGGAAAGGUGACCAACAAGGAGAAGAUUGCAUGAAGAAUUCUUGCUAUCAACUAGGGCUGGAUGCCCCCAGGAAGAAUACUGAAAGGAGAGCAGAGUUCAGGGCAUGUUCAGCUCCAUCCAUGCAUCAAGGGAAAUAUAUACGAGGCAAAGGAAUUACGUGUUCUGCUAGAUGACAUAGUACAAGGUUCAGCAGCGACGACAUGAUCUCAAACAUGGCACUGAGUACAAGGCAAAGUUAUGUGGUGGGUCGGAUGGAGAGCUUGGCGCGGCGAUGUGGCAGGCU